GACGAACGCUGGCGGCGUGCUUAACACAUGCAAGUCGAACGAAGUGGCGAACGGGUGAGUAAUACGUGGGUAACCUGCCCUCCUUUUCGGGAUAAGCCUUGGAAACGGGGUCUAAUACCGACUAAAGGGGGAUGGGCUCGCGGCCUAUCAGCUUGUUGGUGGGGUGAUGGCCUACCAAGGCGGUGACGGGUAGCCGGCCUGAGAGGGUGACCGGUCAUAGUGGGACUGAGAUACGGCCCAGAGACAUACGCGCGGCGGCAGUCGGGGGUAGUGCCAGAUGUGUGUAAGACUCAUGCAGUUAGGCCGUGUGGGGGAUGCAGGCUUACGCGUUGUACGCCUAAAAGGCCAUCGACCGGGUGACUGCCGCGGAAGCGCCGGCUAACUACGUGCCAGCAGCCGCGGUAAUAC
rnacentral:rRNA from 1 species